rnacentral:rRNA from 1 species
AUUGAACGCUGGCGGAAUGCUUUACGCAUGCAAGUCGAACGGCAGCACGGACUUCGGUCUGGUGGCGAGUGGCGAACGGGUGAGUAAUGUAUCGGAACGUGCCCAGUCGUGGGGGAUAACGUAGUGAAAAUUACGCUAAUACCGCAUACGAUCUAUGGAUGAAAGCGGGGGAUCGCAAGACCUCGCGCGAUUGGAGCGGCCGAUACCAGAUUAGGUAGUUGGUGGGGUAAAGGCCCACCAAGCCAACGAUCUGUAGCUGGUCUGAGAGGACGACCAGCCACACUGGAACUGAGACACGGUCCAGACUCCUACGGGAGGCAGCAGUGGGGAAUUUUGGACAAUGGGCGAAAGCCUGAUCCAGCCAUUCCGCGUGCAGGAUGAAGGCCCUCGGGUUGUAAACUGCUUUUGUACAGAACGAAAAGGUUUCUACUAAUACUAGGAGCUCAUGACGGUACUGUAAGAAUAAGCACCGGCUAACUUCGUGCCAGCCGCCGCCGUAA